GUCUGCUCAGCUCCCUCGCACGCCACCCGCAGAGUGAGGCUGGGAGCCAGAAUAUGACAAGAGCCAGAAUAUGACAAGAGCCAGAAUAUGACAACAUAUUCUGGCUCCCAGCCUCACUCUGCGGACGGCGUGCGAGGGAGCUGAGCAGAC